ensembl:piRNA 21ur-2134 ncRNA
UGAAUUGGCAUUAGAUGUUUA